AUGCCACCCACCGCCCUCCAAACUAUCCCCAUUACUUGGCCCUUCGCGUUCUGGGGGCUUGACAUGGUUGGACCCCUUAAAGGCGGAACCCACAAGCAAAAAUACUUACUGGUCAUGGUGGAUAAGUUCACCAAAUGGAUAGAAGCCAAGCCUGUUAAGACGGCCGAAUCCGGACCGGUGAUAGACUUUAUAUCCAGGGUUGUACACCGUUACGGCGUCCCCCACAGCAUCAUCACUAAUAACGGCACGAACUUCACGGCCGACGAGGUAAAACUCUGGUGCAAAAACAUGGGCAUCAAGCUCGAUUAUGCUUCCGUCUAUCACCCACAAACUAACGGUCAGGUCGAACGUGCAAAUGGUCUUAUCAUGAGCGGCAUCAAACCCAGAUUAGUGCGGUCCCUCAAGGAAUCUAACACGCACUGGGUAGAGGAGCUCGACUCCGUACUCUGGGGGCUGCGGACCAUGCCGAAUCGCACCACCGGAUACACAUCAUUCUUUAUGGUGUACGGCGCAGAGGCAGUUUUGCCUUGCAACAUCAUUCAUGACUCACCUCGAGUGCGCAUGUAUGAAGAAAGAGAAGCCGAGCUCGAUCGGCAGGACAUCUUGGACGCAUUGGAGAAGGAGCGUGACGUGGCAAAAGCCCGUUCCACAUUCUGUCAACAGCAGGCUCGAAGAUACCAAAGCAGAGAAGUACGGGCCAAACAUUACAAUGUUGGCGAAUUAGUUCUAUGA
rnacentral:rRNA from 1 species